rnacentral:rRNA from 1 species
GACGAACGCUGGCGGCGUGCUUAACACAUGCAAGUCGAACGGAAAGGCCCUGCUUUUGUGGGGUGCUCGAGUGGCGAACGGGUGAGUAACACGUGAGUAACCUGCCCUUGACUUUGGGAUAACUUCAGGAAACUGGGGCUAAUACCUGCUAGGAGCUCCUGCUGCAUGGUGGGGGUUGGAAAGUUUCGGCGGUUGGGGAUGGACUCGCGGCUUAUCAGCUUGUUGGUGGGGUAGUGGCUUACCAAGGCUUUGACGGGUAGCCGGCCUGAGAGGGUGACCGGCGACAUUGGGACUGAGAUACGGCCCAGACUCCUACGGGAGGCAGCAGUGGGGAAUAUUGCACAAUGGGCGGAAGCCUGAUGCAGCAACGCCGCGUGCGGGAUGACGGCCUUCGGGUUGUAAACCGCUUUCGCCUGUGACGAAGCGUGAGUGACGGUAAUGGGUAAAGAAGCACCGGCUAACUACGUG